GAUGAAGAACGCAGCGAAAUGCGAUACGUAAUGUGAAUUGCAGAAUUCAGUGAAUCAUCGAAUCUUUGAACGCACAUUGCGCCUGCCAGCACUCUGGCAGGCAUGCCUGUUCGAGCGUCAUUUCAACCAUCAAGCCCUAGGCUUGCGUUGGAGCCCUGCGGCUGCCGCAGGCCCCUAAAAGCAGUGGCGGGCUCGCUAUCACACCGAGUGCAGUAGAUUACUCUUCGCUCAGGGCGUGUGGCGGGUUCCAGCCGUGAAACCCCCUACUUUUAAAGGUUGACCUCGGAUCAGGUAGGAAUACCCGCUGAACUUAAGCAUAUCAAUAAGCGGAGGA
rnacentral:misc_RNA from 1 species